AGCGCCUUCGGGCGUGAGUACAGUGGCGGACGGGUGAGUAACGCGUAUGCAACCUACCCUUGAGCGGGGGACAAUCACGGGAAACCGUGGCUAAUACCGCAUAAAAUCUCGGUUGCGCCUGCAACCGAGAUCAAAGCCUUUGGGCGCUCUUGGAUGGGCAUGCGUCGGAUUAGCUUGUUGGUGAGGUAGAAGCUCACCAAGGCAACGAUCCGUAGCUGGUCUGAGAGGAUGAUCAGCCACACUGGCACUGAGACACGGGCCAGACUCCUACGGGAGGCAGUAUUGNGGAAUCUUGCACAAUGGAGGAAACUCUGAUGCAGCCACGCCNCGUGGAGGAAGACACCCCUAUGGGGCGNAAACU
rnacentral:rRNA from 1 species